UUAGAGUUUGAUCCUGGCUCAGGAUGAACGCUAGCGGCAGGCUUAACACAUGCAAGUCGAGGGGCAGCAUGAGGAGUAGCAAUACACCUUGAUGGCGACCGGCGCAAGGGUGCGUAACGCGUGAGCAACAUGCCCGUAUCAGGGAGAUAACCGGUGGAAACGCCGACUAAUAUCCCAUAACAACAGAGGUUACAUGACCUAUGUUUGAAAGAUUCGUCGGAUACGGAUUGGCUCGCGUGAUAUUAGCUAGUUGGCGGGGUAACGGCCCACCAAGGCGACGAUAUCUAGGGGUUCUGAGAGGAAGGUCCCCCACAUUGGAACUGAGACACGGUCCAAACUCCUACGGGAGGCAGCAGUGAGGAAUAUUGGUCAAUGGUCGCAAGACUGAACCAGCCAUGCCGCGUGAAGGCUAAGGUCCUAUGGAUUGUAAACUUCUUUUGUAUGGGAGCAAUAAGGUCUACGUGUAGAUCGAUGAGAGUACCAUACGAAUAAGCAUCGGCUAACUCCGUGCCAGCAGCCGCGGUAAUACGGAGGAUGCAAGCGUUAUCCGGAUUUAUUGGGUUUAAAGGGUGCGUAGGCUGCGUGUCAAGUCAGCGGUGAAAUGCAAGGGCUUAACCCUUGACGUGCCGUUGAUACUGAUGUGCUGGAAUGGCGUUGCCGUGGGAGGAAUGUGUAAUGUAGCGGUGAAAUGCAUAGAUAUUACACAGAACACCGAUUGCGAAGGCAUCUCACGAAGCGCUUAUUGACGCUGAUGCACGAAAGUGCGGGGAUCAAACAGGAUUAGAUACCCUGGGUAGUCCGCACAGUAAACGAUGAUAACUAGCUGUUGGCGAUAGACGGUCAGUGGCUAAGCGAAAGCGAUAAGUUAUCCACCUGGGGAGUACGACCGCAAGGUUGAAACUCAAAGGAAUUGACGGGGGCCCGCACAAGCGGAGGAACAUGUGGUUUAAUUCGAUGAUACGCGAGGAACCUUACCCGGGCUCGAACGGUGCAUGACGAAGUCAGAGAUGUCUUUUCCCUUCGGGGCAUGUAUCGAGGUGCUGCAUGGUUGUCGUCAGCUCGUGCCGUGAGGUGUCGGCUUAAGUGCCAUAACGAGCGCAACCCUUAUCGUCAGUUACUACGCAAGAGGACUCUGGCGAGACUGCCGUUGACAAAACGGAGGAAGGUGGGGAUGACGUCAAAUCAUCAUGCCCUUUAUGACCUGGGCUACACACGUACUACAAUGGCACUAAACAAAGAGCAGCGAAACCGCGAGGUGGAGCGAACCUCAUAAACAGUGUCUCAGUUCGGACUGCAGGCUGCAACUCGCCUGCACGAAGCCGGAAUUGCUAGUAAUCGCGGAUCAGAAUGCCGCGGUGAAUACGUUCCCGGGCCUUGCACACACCGCCCGUCAAG
rnacentral:rRNA from 1 species